ensembl:lncRNA
GGAUAGCGUGCAGGGACUCAAAAUGCGGAGGUGGCGGGUUUUGAAACCCGUAACAGCUAGUUGUUGAUCCAGUCAACUAGCACCACCCUCAGUCAGGAGGAGGAUGACCUGCUAGCUGUGCUAACCAUAAGGAGACUGAUCUGGCAGUGCCAUCCAUGGUGGAACAUCUCCGGCGUGUUCGUCGGGUCUGGCGCGAGGCCCAGGCAGCCCUCGUCCGCACUGCGGCCCGCAAUCAGCGAGUGGCGGAUCGGCACCGGCCCCGGACUACCAGCCGGGACAGAUGGUCUGGCUAUCAUCCCGUGAUCUGCCCCUCCAGACUGAGUCCCGUAAACUGACUCCGAGUGUCCACCAGUCCACUAAGUCCUCCUGCAGAGCUCCCCCCACCCACCCUUGACAUUGAUGACCACCCGGCGUACACAGUAUAUAAGGUUUUGGACGUACGCCGGCGUGGUCGAGGCUACCAGUACCUCGUGGACUGGAAGGGUUACGGUCCAGAGGAGAGACAGUGGAUUUCUCGUUCCCUCAUCCUUGACCAGUCUAUUUUGGAUGACUUUUAUGAACAGUUCCCGG